rnacentral:rRNA from 1 species
AGUGAACGCUGGCGGUAGGCCUAACACAUGCCAGUCGAACGGCAGCACAGUAAGAGCUUGCUCUUACGGGUGGCGAGUGGCGGACGGGUGAGGAAUACAUCGCAAUCUACUUUUUCGUGGGGGAUAACGUAGGGAAACUUACGCUAAUACCGCAUACGACCUACGGGUGAAAGCAGGGGAUCUUCGGACCUUGCGCGAUUGAAUGAGCCGAUGUCGGAUUAGCUAGUUGGCGGGGUAAAGGCCCACCAAGGCGACGAUCCGUAGCUGGUCUGAGAGGAUGAUCAGCCACACUGGAACUGAGACACGGUCCAGACUCCUACGGGAGGCAGCAGUGGGGAAUAUUGGACAAUGGGCGCAAGCCUGAUCCAGCCAUACCGCGUGGGUGAAGAAGGCCUUCGGGUUGUAAAGCCCUUUUGUUGGGAAAGAAAAGCAGCAGGUUAAUACCCCGCUGUUCUGACGGUACCCAAAGAAUAAGCACCGGCUAACUUCGUG